CGGAGCCCAAACCCUCCAAACCCAAACCCCGAACCCUAAUGUCGCCGGAGACCUCACCGGAGGCGGAGAAGAAGCUAGAGUUGUCUUGAUUGGUAAGAGGAGGAGGAAGCAGAAAAUUUGAGGAGGCUUGGAAAUGCUCGGGUGUGUUUUAGCAUUCCCUUAGACAAUAGUGGGCCGUUUGCUCAGCCCGAGCACGAGCCAGGGAGGAGGGACGGCCCUGUGCGCUAAGGCCGUGGCAAUAUUGCUUUCGUCCUUGUCCAGUCGGAGCCAUGUUUUAAUUCUCUUAUGAUCUUCUUUUUCUAUUUUCUAUUUCCUUUUUGGCUGUGACUUCAGAAUACUUGAAGUCCCUUGCCACCAUUUUCUUCUCCUAAUGCUGUUACGUUUUCUUUUCUAUUGUACAUGCGGCUGUGUGCCUGUGUCGCCAUCUAUCCCAUCCUUCUUCCUUUUGUUUUUAUGGAGUAAAAAAAAUCCUUGAACAAGCAGAAGUAAGUAGAAAAAACUUCUGGACCGAUGACAAGGUCAUCCAACUUUAUUCAUAUAUAUAUGCAUAAGGCACGGAGUAUACAUGCAAAGUACAAGCAUACGUAAGUAUAUAUGGUACAAAAAGAAUAACGAAUACGACUCGAUGAAACCGCCGCUCAAAUCUCCAAGAGAAAGCUACGCAUAUGCAGUAUGUAUAAGCAUGGCACACAUGCUUCUACUGCAUAAUCUUCGCCACGAGCAGGGAUACCAGCGCGGACGACACCACGGCCACGGCGGACGCCGCCGGAGCGGAGGCCGCCCCGGCGAUCGGAGAGGGCGCGGGCGCGGACGACGGCGCCGUGGUGAACUCCUGCGCCGACGCGGAGGCGACGAGCACGGCCGCGGCGAGGAGCAGCACGGAGGCGAAGCGUGAAGCCAUCUCGGGACGAUCGACUUGCUGGAAGGCUUUGAACUUGCUUGCUAGCUCUCGAAGACUCUGCUGCGGCGGUGGCGGUGGCGGUGGCGGUGUGCGUGUACUCUGCUGCGGAUUGCGAUGCUGCGAUGGGGGGAGGAGGUUUAUAUAGGCCGCCCAAGCGGAGGGCUGCGCCGUGGGAUCGGCGGGUCGCAGUCGUGGGUUUAAUUUCUCUCCGUGUCCGCGCGCGUCUGCGUUCCUUCCGCGGGGGGCACGGCACGGCAC
rnacentral:lncRNA from 1 species